UACGAAGGGGGUUAGCGUUGUUCGGAAUUACUGGGCGUAAAGGGCGCGUAGGCGGCCUUCUUAGUCGAACAUGAAAUCCCCCGGGCUCAACCCGGGAACUGCGUCCGAUACUGGAAGGCUCGAAUCCGGGAGAGGGAUGUGGAAUUCCAGGUGUAGCGGUGAAAUGCGUAGAUAUCUGGAGGAACACCGGUGGCGAAGGCGACAUCCUGGACCGGUAUUGACGCUGAGGCGCGAAGGCGUGGGGAGCGAACGGG
rnacentral:rRNA from 1 species